rnacentral:rRNA from 1 species
AUUGAACGCUGGCGGCAUGCCUUACACAUGCAAGUCGAACGGCAGCACGGGUGCUUGCACCUGGUGGCGGGUGGCGAACGGGUGAGUAAUACAUCGGAACAUGUCCUGAAGUGGGGGAUAGCCCGGCGAAAGCCGGAUUAAUACCGCAUACGAUCUACGGAUGCAAGCGGGGGAACUUCGGGCCUCGCGCUAUCGGGUUGGCCGAUGGCUGAUUAGCUAGUUGGUGGGGUAAAGGCCUACCAAGGCGACGAUCAGUAGCUGGUCUGAGAGGACGACCAGCCACACUGGGACUGAGACACGGCCCAGACUCCUACGGGAGGCAGCAGUGGGGAAUUUUGGACAAUGGGCGAAAGCCUGAUCCAGCAAUGCCGCGUGUGUGAAGAAGGCCUUCGGGUUGUAAAGCACUUUUGUCCGGAAAGAAAUCCUUGGCCCUAAUACGGUCGGGGGAUGACGGUACCGGAAGAAUAAGCACCGGCUAACUACGUG